AGUGAACGCUGGCGGUAGGCCUAACACAUGCAAGUCGAACGGCAGCACAGUAAGAGCUUGCUCUUACGGGUGGCGAGUGGCGGACGGGUGAGGAAUACAUCGGAAUCUACUUUUUCGCGGGUGCUAACGUAGGGAAACUUACGCUAAUACCGCAUACGACCUACGGGUGAAAGCAGGGGAUCUUCGGACCUUGCGCGAUUGAAUGAGCCGAUGUCGGAUUAGCUAGUUGGCGGGGUAAAGGCCCACCAAGGCGACGAUCCGUAGCUGGUCUGAGAGGAUGAUCAGCCACACUGGAACUGAGACACGGUACAGACUCCUACGGGAGGCAGCAGUGGGGAAUAUUGGACAAUGGGCGAAAGCCUGAUCCAGCCAUACCGCGUGAGUGAAGAAGGCCUUCGGGUUGUAAAGCCCUGUUGUUGGGAAAGAAAAGAAGCAGGUUAAUACCCCGCUGUUCUGACGGUACCCAAAGAAUAAGCACCGGCUAACUUCGUG
rnacentral:rRNA from 1 species